UCCUAGAGGGCCGUCUGGGGGGUCCUCUGGGACCUUGGGUUGGCAGUGUCUCGGGGCCGCAGUCCACUUCACCUGAGCCCUUUGCGGCACGUGGCUGUCUCACGAUUCCCCAGCGGGACUUGGGGCUUUGUUGCUGCAUCUGGCUGUACCCGGGAGGCACUGACAUGUCUGCUCACCGCUUGAUCCGCAGGGGCUGUGUUUGUGCUUUCUGGCAUUGUAUUCGGCCCCGAGCGCUUACUGGACACUCAAGAAGUGGCUGUCCCUUCUCUGGCUGCUGUCUGCUAGCCCUCUCACCAGCCUGGGCUCUGUCACUCGGCCUGUCUGCUUUAAGGAAUACUCAGUCUACCCCAGCACACUCCCUCUGCUUGAAGAGCGGGUUGGAAGGAGAAAGGUGUCCUCUUUCUGCUCAUGUGGAAAUUGCCUGGGAAGCUAGUAGCUGUUGGCUCUGAAGGCAGUUGGCUGUCCUGAGUUUUCGAGUCCCUUGGAAGGAUUCUGGGGAGUUGGCCGAUUGGCUGCAGACCCAAGCUCAUCUGACGAUGUGAACAGCCUCCUGAGACCUGCAGGAAUGUGAUGACAUCAGUCCUUGUCCCCCUAGCUGGUCCACUUUAGCUCAUGGGAUCCUCUGACGACCUCCCUGGAAGGAGACGCUCCCUUACAGAUGGGGAAGCUGGGCCUUUUGGCUGAAGUCAUUGAUUCCCGAGGUCACACGGCUGUAGGUGAGCUGGGAUUACUCAGUGGCCUGGCCGGGUGUGGACACCUGUGGAUCUUGGCGGGGGUGUGGGCUGCUCAGCGCUGGGUGACCACAGCGGGACUGAUGUGUGAGGCCACGGCACUGUGGGUUCUUGCUCGUCGGGCCUCCCUCCACGUUUGGGUUUGCAGGGGUCCUGACUCCUAACUCCGGGCGUGUCCACGUGAGGGGGGACAAUCACUAAACUCUGUAAACAUCAUGGGGAUUUUUAAGAACAUCCUUGCUCAGGCCUGGGGUUGCUAUGUUUCUGUGUUCUUGGCUCACUGUGUUUUCCUGGAAAAAUAAAUAAAUAA